CAUGCCGCGUGUGUGAAGAAGGCUUUCGGGUUGUAAAGCACUUUCAGUGAGGAGGAAGGCCUUAAGGUUAAUACCCUUGAGGAUUGACGUUACUCACAGAAGAAGCACCGGCUAACUCCGUGCCAGCACCUGCGGUGACUGAGCGGGCUGGCAAGGCGCAUA
rnacentral:rRNA from 1 species